AUGGAGAAGUCUACCAAGAUGGUGGCGGUGCUCGUCCUCGCCGUGCUGGCCGCGGCGACCAGCGCCGAGGCGAGGAACAUCAAGACGACGGAGGCGGCGUCCGCCAGCAAGGACGCGGUCCUGCAGCCGACGACCUUCCCGCCCUUCGAUCGCCUCGGCAGCGGGUCGCCGGGGUUCGGCGGGCUCCCCGGCAGCAGCGGCAUGCCGGGAUUCAGCCUCCCCGGCAGCAGCGGCGCCACCCCGGGCUUCGGCAGCAUCGGCAGCAUGCCCUUCCUUGGCGGCAGCUCCCCCGGCCUCGGCGGCUUCGGCGGCAUGCCGGGCUCCCCCGCUGCAGCUGCCGUCGACGAGCACGCCAAGAAGCCGUGA
rnacentral:rRNA from 1 species